rnacentral:sRNA from 1 species
UGUCAAGAGUCAGGCACCGCUUUGGUGAACGGAAUUCUUUUGCCUGAGCACAGGUGAAAGCACAUG